UUAAUUAUUGUAUAUUGUUUAUUGUAAUAUUUUCCCAUAUACGGUAGAAAAUAAUCAUUUCGCCUUUUUGAUAAAGGUCGUUCGGUCAUUUUAACAUCCGACUCAAUAAAAAUAUAGUUUUAGUAUCAUCUACACAUAAUACUCGUUAUAUUGCGUUAUUUAAAGGCGAUACGCUACGAGUCGGAGAUUAAGUUCCCGAGAGGUUUU